rnacentral:rRNA from 1 species
CGGAAUUACUGGGCGUAAAGCGUGCGCAGGCGGUUUUGUAAGACAGUGGUGAAAUCCCCGGGCUCAACCUGGGAACUGCCAUUGUGACUGCAAGGCUAGAGUGCGGCAGAGGGGGAUGGAAUUCCGCGUGUAGCAGUGAAAUGCGUAGAUAUGCGGAGGAACACCGAUGGCGAAGGCAAUCCCCUGGGCCUGCACUGACGCUCAUGCACGAAAGCGUGGGGAGCAAACAGGAUUAGAUACCCUGGUAGUCAAGGGCG